rnacentral:ncRNA from 2 species
AAUAGAAGAACGACCAUCCAUCGUAUAACAUCGGGAAUAAGGCCCGAAAGUCUCUACCAGGUUACCGUAAAUAACCUGACUACGAAGGAAUCAGAGAUAGAA